UAAACCCUUUCGCCAUGGACACACCCGAC
rnacentral:piRNA from 1 species